AGUAGCUAAAGUUGUGUAGCUUAAUUCGAAUUUUGCCCUGCUGUGUAGACGUGCCCAAAGUGAACAGAAUCCACAAACACAGAUCUGAUUGCAGGACUGGGAUCUUGAAUUGUGCUCCUUCUUUCCCAAACGUUAGCAUAAUACUUGGGUGGGAGACUUGGCUGGGAUUCUGCCAAUCUUUCCUUUUUUAUUAGUAUCACUGAUCUUAUUCGCUAUGCACUAAGCAGUGGGCAAGAGACAUUACAGUGUGAGAGACAUGAGACAGGCCCCGAUCAAUGAUUAGGGUUUCUUCUUAAAAAAAAAAAUAGUAAAACUGUUGAAUAAUCAACUCGUUUCUAAAUAGGAAGAGCUUGCUGCUGAAUAUUGCGCAAGUGCCUCAAAAUAACUGAUUUUCUGAAUCUAGUUACAAGAACAGUUUGUCAAAAGUUUAACUGUUAUUGGGACUCCAGAGCUCUCCGUGCUAGAGUUUCCAUCGCUUGUAACUUAAUAGCCGAAAAAGUAUGUCCCAUCCGGAUCGAACUAAACUUUCAACCAUCGUCAAGCAGCUAAUGUUAAGUUUAACACUUUCUUAUGAAGACUAGAGGAAACAGUUCAUAUCUUUAUUAUGUUAGUAUGCAGUCUUUUAAAUGGCUGUUAUGAUGCUGCAUUAGUGCUUCUUCAUUUAUUCUGUGUAUGAAAGUUUAUAGCAGCAAAAAAGAUUAGAAACUUUCAUUUUCAUUGGAUUUGUUUUUUGUUUACUGCAGGCUUGGAUUCUGCUGCAAACAGCAAAAAUUAUAACCAGUUAGCAAAAGGUAGCUCAUGAGAUUUGUGAUUUUUAUUUGGAGCCUGGUUUAUGAUCAUAUGGUAGUGGGAUGAUAUAAAAUGAAACUGUUUAUUGUGAUUUGAAAUUUAAUGUUGCCGGGUAAUUGAGUGUAAUUGAUUUAUAAUUCAUGUGAAAGUUAAAAAAGAUGAUAUAACAACUUUAAAACAUAACAUUUGGCUCUUAAAAUUUUUUGGUGGGGGUUUCCCUCUAAGUAUGAUGCUAUGUCAUUUUGUUUUAUUAUCUCUCUUAAAAUGUAAUUUCAUUGUUUCACUGGUUUCUCUGUCACAUUCCCUUAAUUGUAUUUUUUAAUUAAUGUUUAUAGUCUAUGUCUAGACGAAUCUGAUGGGCUCCAUUUCUCUAGGGAUCCUUUAAUAAGAGGAGACAUUUAUACAUGGAAAGUUUGAGUUACCAAAAGGACAAACUUCAGUAACGUGUCAUUUUGAUUGCCAUGUGGAUGGCUUCUCUAUCAGAACACUUCGGUUUUGCAUUAUAAUUGGCACAUCUAAUUUCUGCUUUGAUCUUGUUUAGUUUUUAGGGUAUUUAAUUUCUGCCAUUCCUUUGAUUUCUUUUCAAACUCCACAACAUGAUAUUCAGAAAAACAGAAGAGGUGCGUGUAGUCAUUAGGAGAUACAGCAUGACAUUCAGAGAAGAUAUUAAUGAAACCAAUUUAAGGAGCUACAUGGAUGGCUUACUGAUCAAACACAGCACCGAGGUGAGCGAAGGAAUCACGGUUAUUCCCUGGAAUACAACGUGAGGCACAAACCCCUAAACAUCCAAAAGCAAAAUGGAACCUCUGGCUGCGCUAACUCCCUGAUGAACCCUUCUCUACGCUGCUCCCUCCCGGAUACAGAAACAUUCCGUUUUGGAAGACAGGAGCCAGCAUUAAUCAAUUUAGACUGCAAACUCUUUGGAACAAAGACAAUCAUUUUGUUCUGUGUUUAUCGAGUGCCAAGCACAUUGGAAUCCUGCUCCAUGACUGGGGCUCCUAUAUCCCACCAUACAAAUAAUCUACUAUAUAUUUGAGAG